rnacentral:rRNA from 1 species
GACGAACCGUGCAAACGUUGUUCGGAUUCACUGGGCUUAAAGGGCGCGUAGGCGGGUGGCCAAGUCAGGGGUGAAAUCUUUCGGCUUAACCGGAAAAUUGCCUUUGAUACUGGCCGUCUGGAGGGAGGUAGGGGCACGUGGAACUUCCGGUGGAGCGGUGAAAUGCGUUGAGAUCGGAAGGAACGCCCGUGGCGAAAGCGAGGUCCUGGACGUCUACUGACGCUGAGACGCGAAAGCUAGGGGAGCAAACGGG